rnacentral:lncRNA from 1 species
CUUUGUGUUCUUGAGAAUAAGACACCUUUGCUCCAGGGCUUAGUGAGCAGGGCCUGAACUGGAGUUCCCUCCCACCACCUUAACUGAACUCUUCAUGCAGGACACAGCAUGUACAACCUCACAUAGAGUUCCUGACCAGACAAGACUUGCUGGAAAUUUCCCAGGAUCUUCCUUCCUUAAGAUGUCUCUGUGUUAGGAAAACUUGGAUAAGCAGGUCCAUAGAAAUUCCUCUGCUAGCCCUGUCUCCUGGAAUUUCUACAUAAUGGCAUAUCCUCAGAGGAAUCAAAAGAAGGAGGAAGAAUAGAAUGAUUUGGAGGAAAAGAAGGAGAAAGUAGAGGAGUUGAAAAAAAGGAAGAAAAAGAAAAAUGCAGAAUCCUUUGUCAAUCCAACAGAACACAGCAAAAAAGCAAAGAAAGUGAAAGAUGUUCAUGGCAUGGAUGAAUGGAGAGGGCCACAAAGCAUGGUCCCUGUAUUUUUUGGCUCCUCCGCAAAUACUAAAGACUUGGACAAGGACAGCUCUCCUAUUGUAAUCAUGGCCAGAAAUGGGUUUACUCUGAAACUAAUGAAGAAGAUUAAUUCCUAGUAAAGUGUUCACAUGUUCAUACGCUUUUGUAAAAUUUGCUAAAGUAAGAUAUUCUUAUUGCAAUUGGGUAAUGCUAUUGUCAUCUUCUACCACGACUUCUCCUGCAUCAUACUCCUCCUCUGGCAGAAGGUCCCAGAGCAGCCAUGGAGAAGUGCUGGGUCCAGCAUAAUAUACUUACAUGGUUCACAGCCAACUCCAUGUAUAGUUAGAUUGGUUGCCACUGCAUAGUUUGCUUCCAGAAAAACUUCUACCAUCUCCUAUGACUGUUCAUCUUGCAUAUUACACAAAGGUGCCUACAAUUCCUACUUUCAGAACAUGUAAGCAGUGAAAGAUAAAUGAGGAAUGAGGCUUGAAAUACCUGGAAACAUAAUUUCAUCUUCCAAUAAUCAGAUAUCUAAAAUUGUGAGAGUUAGGCUUUUACUGAUUCUCAAUCAAAACAAAAGUUCUCUCCCACCAAAACAUGUACUCAAUAAUGGCCUAAAAUCUCAUAAUUUGUAUAUGAAAGAAACAUUAGAGAUUUUUCCAAAUUUGGCAACAAUGCUUAAAAUUUCAGGACAUUACCCAAAACAAGUUAUAAAGGCAGAAAGUUUCUAAGUAAUUGCAUUCUAUAAAGUUCAAUCAGACAUGCUUGAGGAAAGACUAAAUUACCUCACUACUGUCUUUAUUACAAAUAUUAUAAAAAUUGAUGUCUCAUGAAAAGUUGAUUGAUAGAUUACAGCCAAAAAAUGAAAAGAUGUAUUAGGGAGUUAAGUAAUUUUAUAUAUAUAUAUAUACACACACACACACACACACAUACAUAUAUAAUGUGUAUUACAUAUUAUAUAUGUGUAUAUAUACAAAUAUACAUAUAUAUGUAUGUAGAUAUACAUGUGUACUAUAUAUACACAUUAUAAUAUAAACAUUAUAUAUAAAUAUAUAUAAUUUUUCAGGAUUCUUCUAUUUGUGGUAUUUGUUAGCUUUUAAAAGUUAUACUUAGAUGUGAUUUCUUUCGCAUUCUAAAUAAACAUUUAUAUUUGUA